UACGGGGGGGGCAAGCGUUGUUCGGAAUUACUGGGCGUAAAGGGCUCGUAGGCGGCCAACUAAGUCGGACGUGAAAUCCCUCGGCUUAACCGGGGAACUGCGUCCGAUACUGGAUGGCUCGAGUUUGGGAGAGGGAUGCGGAAUUCCAGGUGUAGCGGUGAAAUGCGCAGAUAUCAGGAAGAACACCCGUGGCGAAGGCGGCUCUCUGGGACGGUACUGACGCUGAGACGCGAAAGCGUGGGGAGCGAACAGG
rnacentral:rRNA from 1 species